rnacentral:lncRNA from 1 species
AAAAAAAAAAAAAAAAAGGAAAAGAACAAGCCACAGAAGAUAUUUGCAAAAUAUAUAACAAAGAACUUGUGUACAUAUUUUAAAAUUUGUAUGAAUAAGAACACUUGAAGAAACCUAAUAACUAAUAAACAUGAAAAGUUGUUCAACAUUAUCAGUAAUGUUCAAAUAGACACUAUACAUGUACUGUCUUAGGUAGAGCUGCUAUAAUAAAAUACCAUACAUUGAAUUAAAAACAUUUAUUUCUCAUGGUUAUGGGAACUGGAAAGUCCGAGAUCAAGAUGCUAGUAGGUUUGUUUCUGGUAAGGGCCCCCUGGUUCAUAGACAGGCAUCUUCUUGCUGUGUGUUCGCAUGGCAGAAAGAGGGCUGGGAUCUCUUCAUAAGGGCACUAAUCCCACUCACGUGGGCUCCAUGCUUACGACCUCCCAAGGGCUCCGCAUCCUAAUAUCAUCACAUUGGGGGUUAAGAUUUCAACAUAUGGGCCGGGCGCGGUGGCUCACGCCUGUAAUCCCAGCACUUUGGGAGGCCGAGGCGGGCGGAUCACGAGGUCAAGAGAUCAAGAACAUCCUAGCCAACAUGGUGAAACCCUGUC